rnacentral:rRNA from 1 species
AGUAAAAGUCGUAACAAGGUCUCCGUUGGUGAACCAGCGGAGGGAUCAUUACAGAGUUGCAAAACUCCCACAAACCAUCGCGAAUCUUACCCGUACGGUUGCCUCGGCGCUGGCGGUCCGGAAAGGCCCUCGGGCCCUCCCGGAUCCCCGGGUCUCCCGCUCGCGGGAGGCUGCCCGCCGGAGUGCCGAAACUAAACUCUUGAUAUUUUAUGUCUCUCUGAGUAAACUUUUAAAUAAGUCAAAACUUUCAACAACGGAUCUCUUGGUUCUGGCAUCGAUGAAGAACGCAGCGAAAUGCGAUAAGUAAUGUGAAUUGCAGAAUUCAGUGAAUCAUCGAAUCUUUGAACGCACAUUGCGCUCGCCAGUAUUCUGGCGAGCAUGCCUGUUCGAGCGUCAUUUCAACCAUCAAGCUCUGCUUGCGUUGGGGAUCCGCGGCUGUCCGCGGUCCCUCAAAAUCAGUGGCGGGCUCGCUAGUCACACCGAGCGUAGUAACUCUACAUCGCUAUGGUCGUGCGGCGGGUUCUUGCCGUAAAACCCCUCAUUUCUAAGGUUGACCUCGGAUCAGGUAGGAAUACCCGCUGAACUUAAGCAUAUCAAUAAGCGGAGGAAAAGAAACCAACAGGGAUUGCCCCAGUAACG